GUGUGGCCAUUUUACCUUUUAGGCUACGCUUUUAAGCAUAGCUGAUAAGGCAACACUUGAAAAGUGUUGCCUAAAAUCUAAGGUAAGCUUCAGUUGGGCACCCCUGGAAAAGUGUUGCCUAAAGUCCAAAAAUGUAGCCUUUUAUCUAAGGCCACACUUUUGCUAGUUUAGACUACACUUUACUAGGGUGGUCGUAGGCCUAAAAUGGUGUAGUGUGUUCAAAGGUGAAUUGCAGAAAGCAUUAAAAGCAAAGAUAAACAACAAUGGCGAAUGGAAGUGUUUCUGACGAAACAAGCACGGAAAAUGGAAAUUCAAGUCGAGCUGUAUUUCCAGUAAUUGAUCACAAUCAUCCCUUGUUCCCUCAACACACUAAUACUCCAGGUAGUUCUCUGAUCUCUCUGCAGUUAACUGGUUCAAAAAACUAUGCUUUGUGGAGUAGUUCCUUUAGGAUUGGACUGGUGGGGAAAAGUAAACAAGGAUUUGUAGAUGGAUGAUUUCCUAAGUCUAUGUUUGAACCAAUUCUGCUUGAUCAACGGGAAAAGUGUAAUGUUAUAGUGUUAAGCUGGAUUAUGAUUGUUGUGCGACCAGGUUUUCUAAGCUCUGUAGUAUAUGCUUCAAAUGCAUGAAAAGUGUGGUUAGAUCUGAGAGAGAGGUUUGACACAGUAAAGGAUCUAGGAUUUUUCAGUUGCAUAGAGAAAUUAACACACUAGUGCAAGGAACUAUGUCAGUUGUUGAUUAUCACUCAAGACUAAGAAAUAUGUGGGAUGAAUAUGAUGCUCUUAUGCCUUGUUCUAGUUUUCCUUGUCCGGAAUAAAGAAAAUUCGGUGAACAUUGUGAUUAUCAAAGGCUAUAACAGUUUCUUAUGGAACUGAAUGAGUCUUACUCAACUCCUAGGAGUCAAAUUCUCAUGAUGAGUCAAAUACCAACACUUAACGAAACUUAUGCUCUCAUUAUUGAUCAAGAGAGUCAGAGAAAUCUAGCCAGUUCUACCUUCCAUAUCUCAGGAGCAAUAGAAGGAACAACUAUGUAUACUCAUAGAAGUAACACAUAAAGUGGUGGUGCAGGAACAUCUAGAACUUCAUACUCAAGAGGAUCUGGUGGUGGAUACAUCAAUGGUGCUAGUUCUUUAGGAGGAGAUUAUAAAGCCAGAAAAUCACUCCUCGGUGUGAGCAUUGUGGGUGCAGAGGACAUUCUAAGGAACAAUGUUAUAAGAGUGUUGGAUAUCCUGCAGAUUUCAAGUCUUAGAGGAAGCCAAAUGUGUAUGCUAAUCAGGAUACUGCUUUAGAAGAAGAUGGAAUGAUUCAUGUCAAUCAAGUGUGGUACAAGAUUUUACACUUUAGAUCAAUACCAAUAAAAGAUUACAAUUGCUCACCAAGUCUGGUUGUUACAAGGUAGAAGAGUCCUCUGCAACAAUAUCACUGUUGCAAAUGCAGGACCUCUCCACUUGUCAGGUGAAGGGGAUUGGUGAAGAAGAGCAUGGACUCAACAUUCUUCAUGAAGAAUCAAGUCACAGGUCUAUUUCACAAAAGCUAGUUAAUACUACUAAUAUAACUCAUGUAUUUGAUUAGUCUAAAUCUAGUGAUGUUUGGCAUAGGAGAUUAGGACAUGCUCCAUUGAUGUAAUAAGGAGGCAUGAGUCCCUUGAAGCUCUAAAGCUCACACACUACUCCCAUUGCACUGUGUGCCUGUAGCUAAACAAUCUAAACUUCCAUUUCCUUUAAGUGUUCAUAAAACUACUGUUGUAUUUGAAUUGCUUUAUUAUGAUUUGUGAAUACCUUAUAAAGUUUCCACUUAAAGAGGUGA